CCUACGGGUGGCUGCAGUGGGGAAUAUUGGACAAUGGGGGGAACCCUGAUCCAGCCAUGCCGCGUGUGUGAAGAAGGCCCUCGGGUUGUAAAGCACUUUCAGUGAGGAAGAACGCCUGGUGGUUAAUACCCAUCAGGAAAGACAUCACUCACAGAAGAAGCACCGGCUAACUCCGUGCCAGCAGCCGCGGUAAUACGGAGGGUGCGAGCGUUAAUCGGAAUUACUGGGCGUAAAGCGCGCGUAGGUGGCUUGAUAAGCCGGUUGUGAAAGCCCCGGGCUCAACCUGGGAACGGCAUCCGGAACUGUCAAGCUAGAGUGCAGGAGAGGAAGGUAGAAUUCCCGGUGUAGCGGUGAAAUGCGUAGAGAUCGGGAGGAAUACCAGUGGCGAAGGCGGCCUUCUGGACUGACACUGACACUUAGGUGCGAAAGCGUGGGUAGCAAACAGGAUUAGAUACCCCAGUAGUC
rnacentral:rRNA from 1 species